GUGAUGUGGUUACAGGAGUCAGGGCCAGGCUGCCUCAGACCCCUUGGGGUGGGGUCCACAGGCCCCUGACCCCUCAGAACUCAGCUUAGCCACUUCUCUUCGUGUUUUCCCAGCCAAGACUUCCCUUCUCCAAGCCACCCCCUCCCUUUGUUCAGCCCCUUUCCUCCUCAGGUGAGAACCGGUCGGGGGGGCCAUGGACUACCUGACAUGAGGGCCCUCAGGGCGACCCCCGCUGGGCCGUGCUUACAGACAGAGGCCAGUAGGGGUCACCCACAGCCCACACAGCAACCAACGAAUGCCCACUGGGGCCACUAGAGUAAACAGCCCCCCAGCUCCGUGUCAGAAGCCUCCCGUGAUGCUCUGUCCUCCUUCGCCCCGCAGAUUUCUGCCAGCUGAUGAAGUGAUUUAGGAGCAUCACCCACGCCCAGCUCCUGCCGGAGACGUCACCGAAGCAUCAGAAACCAAGGUCUGCUGGCCAUGGGCAACCUGAUAAAGGUAUUGGGCAAAGAUUUAGAAAACUGUCCUCAUUUUUUCCUGGAUUUUGAAAGUGUCACAUGGGGAACCUUCUUAAAGUGUUGACUUAUAACGAGCUUGAACAAGGCCCUAAUUUUUUCCUUGACUUUGAACGUGAGAUGGGAUUUUGAUUUUCUUUUCCCCCUCCCCUCCUCCCCAUUCAUGUCAUUUUACGUUGGCAUCUCAGCGAGGCCCCCACGGCAUCAGACCCAUCCCCGUAUCCAUCGUACUCCCCCUCCACUCGCCCACCCGGAGGCCAGGCCCUGCGCAGGAAGCCGCCAGGUGUCGGGGGGGGGGGGGAAACAGGG